GACGAACGCUGGCGGCGUGCUUAACACAUGCAAGUCGAACGGAAAGGCACUGCUUGUGUGGGGUGCUCGAGUGGCGAACGGGUGAGUAACACGUGAGUAACCUGCCCUUGACUUUGGGAUAACUUCAGGAAACUGGGGCUAAUACCGGAUAGGAGCUCCUGCUGCAUGGUGGGGGUUGGAAAGUCUCGGCGGUUGGGGAUGGACUGGCGGCUUACGAGCUUGUUGGUGGGGGAGUGGCUUACCAAGGGUUAGAAUGAUAGGCGGCCCGGGAGCGUGACCGGGCACCUGGGUACUGAGGGACGGCCCAGACUCGUACGGUAGGCAGCAGUGGGGAAUAUUACACAAUGAGCGGAAGUCUGAUGCAGCAGCGCCGCGUGCGGGAUGCCGGCCUUCGGGUUGUGAACCGCUUUCGCCUGAGACGCAGCGUGAGUGACGGUAAUGGGUAAAGAAGCACCGGCUAACUACGUG
rnacentral:rRNA from 1 species